rnacentral:rRNA from 1 species
UACGUAGGCAGCGAGCGUUGUUCGGAAUUACUGGGCGUAAAGAGUGUGUAGGCGGUGCUCUAAGUUCGGUGUGAAAUCUCCUGGCUCAACUGGGAGGGUGCGCCGGAAACUGGAGUGCUUGAGCGUGGGAGAGGAAAGCGGAAUUCCUGGUGUAGCGGUGAAAUGCGUAGAGAUGUGGAGGAACACCAGUGGCGGAAGGCGGCUUUCUGGUUCUGUAAACUGACGCUGAGG